CGCCCCGGCGCCGCCCCCUGCUCGCGCCCGGCCAGGGACCGGCGCUCUGUUCCGUUCUCGGGCUCUGCCGCAAAAGCCGGCCGCGGCGAUGCUCUCUGGAGGGUGGACCCGCCUCAGCCCCUCACGGGGCCCGAGGAACUUCCCAGCACAGAACCCCCGUGCUUCUGAGCUCUGGGGUGAUGCACGUCAAGAACCCAACCAUUUCCUUGGGAGAAGCACCGCUUGGCGUGUUGCCUGCGCCCUUCAGCAGAGGGCUGGCUACUCCGCCCCCACCUAAGGCACUUGGCUGAUUUGAUUGUGAGACCUUUAAACGGCAUCGUCCAAAGUUUCUGUAAGGACACCAUAAUCAAGCAGGACUGUGGCUUCCACUUUGUAACAGAGCCUGUGUUUGUGCAGUAAAGUUCUUGGUGCAUACUGAGUGUGGUGGCUUGGCUGCAGUCCUAGCUACUGGAGAGAUGGGACCCAGGCAUGAGGAUUGCCAGAGCUCAUUAUGAUGCUAACCUGAGCAACAUAAUGAAAGAAAGAAAAAAGAAGAGGGAGAAAGGAAGCAAAGGAGCCAGAGGGAAAAAGGGAGGAAAGCAAGGGGGAAAGAGAAGAAAAGGAAAAGAGACGUUCUUGGCAGACACACUUCUGACUCAUAUUCAACUUUCAGUCAACUUGAACAGCCAAGUCCUUUUGGUAAGGGUUCCACUACGGCUUUCACCUACCCCUCCUGGGUUUUUCACACUGGACUAGGUCAGCUGAGGAUAAACCCUGGACCUUUCACCUACUAGACUGUUCAAAGUGGAAAAUGAUAUAAAGCAGUUUGUAGUUAGUUUAACACCACCUUUAAAACAAGUAUAUCUUUUCAUAAAGCUUGGUUUUAUAGGCGUGGGGUGGUGGCACACACAUAAGGCAGAGGCUGGUGGAUCUCUGAAGACAAGGCCAGCCUGCUAUACAGAGCAAAUUCCGGACCAACCAGAACUACAAAAUAAGCCCCUGUCUCAAAAUAAAUAAGUAAAAAAUGUCCAGUUUUGUGGCAAAAGACUAGUACUUAGCUAUCUACACGUGUAAUGUGAUCAGGAGACACGACGAAGCAGAGUACACACAAGACUACAAAGAAGUCUGUAACAACCAGAAUCUGCUGACAAUCUGGAAGAUGAACUUGGAAUACGCCCAUCAGGCUGAGACACAGCUCAGUUGGUAAAGUGUUACCUAGUACUCACAAAUCUCCAGCACCACACAAAACUGGGCAGCACCAGCUUGCUGCCAACCCUGCCAACCUGGUGGAAGGAGAGAACCAACUACACAAAGUAGUCAUCAGAACUCCACGUUCAUAUAAACAAAUAAAUAUUAAAUGUUCAGGGGUAUGCUUGGUGGUGCACACCUGUAAUCUCAGCACUCAAGAGGUAGAACAGGAAGAUCAGAAGUUCAAAGCCAUUCUCAACUACAAAUCUAGCAUGUGCAAAGCCCUAGGUUCAAUCCUCCACAUUAUAAUACAACAACAAAAGUAUCAAAAAAAUAAAAAAACAAAACAAAACAAAAAAACAGUCCCAGAAGGAGGCAAAUCCACGCACCGUUGAUGACCUGGAGUCCUCCCUUCAGUACACCGGAGAAGAACUCAAAGGAUAAGAGACAGGAGUGGCAGGAAUCAGACUCACAAUUUAAAUGUUAUUCACCAGCCAAUGACCUCAUGAAGUUACAAAAGUAACUCAUUUGAAUCAGGUAAAAAUCUGUUGGAAGCUUCGACUGGAUAUUUACAACUGUUAGCAAAAUUAUUUUAUUUCUUGAACAUUCACAAGCAGAAGACUCUAGAGAUUCAAAUUUAACUUCUACCCACAGCCUGUCUCAGAGUUGCUACACACUAUUUAGGAGAUGAGCUAUUUGAGUAAAGCCUGAAGCAGGGUCAAUAUUAGGUCUCAAAUAUUAGGCCUAUGCCAGAUUAAUGACCCCAACGUGCUUCAGAAUUUCAGAGAGACAGAUUAUUUUAUUUGCUUGCUUAUUUUGUAGGACUGUGAGUUGAAUUAAGGGUCUGGUGCAUGCUAGGCAAGCAUUCUACUCCUGACCAAUAUCCUCACACACCCUAGAAUGCCGCCCUGUUGAGACAGGGUUUCCAUGAGUUACCCAAGCUGGUAUUGAGUCUGCUCCCUUCCUGUCUUAGCUUUCCAAGUGGCUGCGAAUAAAGAGCUGAGCCACAAGACCCAGGAGGAGUCCUGAAGACACAGGAGGAUUAGGAUCAAACAGAUAGUCUGUCAGGAGCAUGCCGGCUCAUACUUCUAAUCCUGAGGCAAGAGAACUGCUGUGAGUUCAAGGCCAGCUCGGGCUACACACAGGAAAGACUCUGUCUCAAAAACCAAGAAUGGCAGGGAGCGAUCCCAUCAUUCCAUGCUAUAACAACAACAACAAAAAGUGGAAGUGCUAAUAAGUGUGGAUAAACCUGAAUCCUUACACUUAGGAGCUGGGGAUGGGAAUGUGAAAAGAUAACAAAUUGCAGUGCAAAACACAUCAGCAGGGUUGUUGUUUAAGUUAAACAUAGAAUUACCUAUGAUCUAAUAAUCCCAUUUCCAGAUAGUCAAGUGUCCAUUAACAUAGGAAUGGAUUGAAAAAUGGUAUAGACAUACAACUUUUCAAACUUGGAUACCUGCUACAAACUGGAUGAUAAAUUGAGUGUGGUGGCACACACCUAUAAACCUGGUACCUGGGAGAUGGGAGCAGAGGGUCAAGCAUCCUUAGCUAGACAGUAUACUCGAGGCAUAUAUGAGAUGCUGUCUGAAGAAAAUAAAAAUUUAAAAAAAAAUUGAGCUGGGUAUGCUGGCACAAGCUUAUAAUUACAACAUUUGGGAAGCUGAGGAGAUUGUAGGUUCAAGGCCAGCGUGUGAUAUACAGUUAUAUCAUCUCAGAAAAACAAAACAAAAAAAAAAAAAGAUUAAGUUUUGAUAGGCCUUAUAUGGACCUAAAAACAUCACAAAAAGGGAAAAAGACACAGACACAAAAGGUCAAAUGUUACACUGAGGCAGGAUAAAAUGACAAGAAAAGUUAGGGGACAUGAGGAAGGAGAGAAGUCUUUACUCCAGAACUUUCCAAGACCUUCCACCCACACCUUGCUGCAGAAUGUCUUGAUAUCAUCAGACAGGUUGUGAAUCAGAACCUUCAGUACAAACAAUAAAAUCCAAGCUGCCCACAGGGAUGAUGGCUGUUUCAUAAGGACACCUCAAACAGCAACAUCUGACCAACAAAUGAAUGAGGAACACUCGGGGCACGAAUGCUGAGACCCUGAGUUUAGCUGGGUCGGGGCUCCUGUCUCACUGAUAAAUCAACGCAAUACACCUUAUAAAACUACAAUUUCAUUUACAGGGAAAAUUUUUGUUGUUUUGUUCUGAGACAGGACCUUAUGCUGGAGAAAUGGCUAAGUGAUUAAGAGUGCAUGCCAUACUUCCAGAGGACCCAGGUUUGAUUCCCAGAAGCCACAUGGCUGCUCACCAUUGUAUCGCCAGUUCCAGGGGACCUGACAACAUCUUCUGGGCUCCAAGAUCACCAGGCACAUAUAUGGUACACAGGUAUACAGGCAAGUGAACACUCAUAAAUAUAGAAUAAAAACACAUCUUUUUAAAACAAAUUUCACGAAUCCCGGCUGGCCCUGAACUAUUUACCUAUGCAGUCAAGGAUGAUCAUCCUGCCUCCAUCGCCAGUGCUGGGAUUAUAGGCAUGUGACACCACGACUAGUUUAUGUAGGUAAUGAAGAUGGAGACCAGGCAUUGCGGAUGCAAGGCAAGCACUCUACCAACUGAUUAACAUCUCCAGUCCCUGAGAAAAUUCUUCAACGUUAAAAGAAAAAAGCUGGGCGGUGGUGGCACAUGCCUUUAAUUCCAGUACUCAAGAGGCAGAGCCAGGCAGAUCUGUGAGUUCAGGCCAGCCUGGUCUACAGAGUGAGAUC